rnacentral:rRNA from 1 species
CACGUAGGGCGCAAGCGUUGUCCGGAAUUAUUGGGCUUAAAGAGCUCGUAGGUGGUUUGUUACGUCUGCUGUGAAAUCCUAGGGCUUAACCCUGGGCUUGCAGUGGAUACGGGCAGACUAGAGGUAGGUAGGGGAGAAUGGAAUUCCUGGUGUAGCGGUGAAAUGCGCAGAUAUCAGGAGGAACACCGGUGGCGAAGGCGGUUCUCUGGGCCUUACCUGACACUGAGGAGCGAAAGCGUGGGGAGCGAACAGG